rnacentral:misc_RNA from 1 species
AAGUCGUAACAAGGUUUCCGUAGGUGAACCUGCGGAAGGAUCAUUAACACGUAUCCAACGUUAAACAACCCUGUGAACCUUGAACGUGCUCUCGCACACGCUCUAGCAGCAAUCCCGACCAGCUAUUGAGUCAGGGACCUCUGCUUUAAAACGAUGCGAUACGAGCGCCAGAGUAAGUGCGGCCUGGCAUCCUAGCAAUCUGUCAGUGGUUGCGCAAGGAUGGCGCAGUAAACGAUCGCUGUAGGCCCACACGGCCGGCGACCGGGCCUCUGUGCUUCGGCACCUAACGACCCCAUGUUUCGUACCCGGUGCGCUGUAACAACCGCACCACAAACUCGAACAACUGUUAACAAUGGAUAUCUUGGUUCUC